UUGCUUUGGCAGCAUCUAUGCCAAAAUUAGAACAAUACAGAAAAGACCAGCAUGGCCACUGUGCAAGUACGACAUGCAAAUUCGUGAAGCAUUCCAUAUAUAU